rnacentral:lncRNA from 1 species
UGAUUUAAAAGCCCUACUGACAUACAUUGGUCUUUUUGAACGUGUUUCGACGAGGUUUUCUACAAGGAUUCAGUGAGAAGAGACUCCUGGCUGCAGCAAUAAAUCUGGUUUACUAGUCGUUUAAUGAAAGUGUUAAAAUCACAGCAAGCACAUCGUGGUUGUAAACUUUAGCCACUAGCCAUUUUAGCCAGUUGUGGCUAAAAAAAAGUGAAUGAUGGACACAGCUAGGGCGGACAUAGCCUAUGCUUUUCAUGGUUAAAGUGCCGAAAACUAAUUCAGGUCAAGUAAAGUCAGUGGAGGAGGAUGAAAACGGCAGGAUUGACAGGUGGCUGAGAUGUUGGACAUGUGGGUAUUUAUUACUUAGUACUGAAAUAAUGUCUUAUCCUCAAUACUGUUGGUGCAUGUCGGGGAAGUUUUUAACUUUAUAGCAGA